ACGCUCGACACCUACGGUAGGCAGCAGUGGGGAAUAUUGCACAAUGGGGGAAACCCUGAUGCAGCGACGCCGCGUGAGCGAAGAAGUAUUUCGGUAUGUAAAGCUCUAUCAGCAGGGAAGAAACUGACGGUACCUGACUAAGAAGCACCGGCUAAAUACGUGCCAACAGCCGCGGUAAUCUGAGCGGGCUGGCAAGGC
rnacentral:rRNA from 1 species